UGCGUGGUUAAUGAUGUUCCUCUUUCCCCGACUGAUCGACUAUGGUGAUACAAAAAUGCAAAAUAAGCCAAUUAUUUCUGAAACCACGAU
ensembl:snoRNA